UGCGCCUUUAAGCCUCACCUGCAGCUGCGCCUCCUUGCACCUGCGCCUGUGCUUUUCUCUCAGCACAGCGGACGCGACUCGAGGGUGACGCUCGCUCCGCUCGUCAUGGCCUACCCGGGAUACGGAGGAGGGUUUGGAAAUUUUAGCAUUCAGGUGCCAGGAAUGCAGAUGGGACAGCCAGUGCCAGAAACAGGCCCAGGUAUACUCCUCGAUGGAUACUCUGGGUGCCCAGCAUUUUCAGACACUUAUUCCUCAGCUGGUGACUCCGUGUAUACUUACUUCAGUGCUGUUGCUGGACAGGAUGGUGAAGUGGAUGCUGAAGAACUUCAGAGAUGUUUGACACAGUCUGGAAUUAGUGGAACUUACUCUCCCUUCAGUUUGGAAACCUGCAGAAUUAUGAUUGCCAUGUUGGAUGUAUCCUUGAAUAGAAAUAGAAAAUACUAGAAUAAAGAGUAAUUGCUUUCUGACUAUCAAGCCAGUGGUUAGAUUUCAGUGCCCAUAGUAAACUAGUGAAUUUAAAAAUACUUUGUAAGAUCCUGUUUAAAUUCUAGGCUUUCUAGUUUUUAUACAGAAAUCUAUUCAUAUAAUGAGUUUGGCU
rnacentral:sRNA from 1 species